rnacentral:rRNA from 1 species
UGUGAGCUCGAUGAGUAGGGCGGGACACGUGGUAUCCUGUCUGAAUAUGGGGGGACCAUCCUCCAAGGCUAAAUACUCCUGACUGACCGAUAGUGAACCAGUACCGUGAGGGAAAGGCGAAAAGAACCCCGGCGAGGGGAGUGAAAAAGAACCUGAAACCGUGUACGUACAAGCAGUGGGAGCACGCUUCGGCGUGUGACUGCGUACCUUUUGUAUAAUGGGUCAGCGACUUAUAUUCUGUAGCAAGGUUAACCGAAUAGGGGAGCCGAAGGGAAACCGAGUCUUAACUGGGCGUUAAGUUGCAGGGUAUAGACCCGAAACCCGGUGAUCUAGCCAUGGGCAGGUUGAAGGUUGGGUAACACUAACUGGAGGACCGAACCGACUAAUGUUGAAAAAUUAGCGGAUGACUUGUGGCUGGGGGUGAAAGGCCAAUCAAACCGGGAGAUAGCUGGUUCUCCCCGAAAGCUAUUUAGGUAGCGCCUCGUGAAUUCAUCUCCGGGGGUAGAGCACUGUUUCGGCAAGGGGGUCAUCCCGACUUACCAACCCGAUGCAAACUGCGAAUACCGGAGAAUGUUAUCACGGGAGACACACGGCGGGUGCUAACGUCCGUCGUGAAGAGGGAAACAACCCAGACCGCCAGCUAAGGUCCCAAAGUCAUGGUUAAGUGGGAAACGAUGUGGGAAGGCCCAGACAGCCAGGAUGUUGGCUUAGAAGCAGCCAUCAUUUAAAGAAAGCGUAAUAGCUCACUGGUCGAGUCGGCCUGCGCGGAAGAUGUAACGGGGCUAAACCAUGCACCGAAGCUGCGGCAGCGACGCUUAUGCGUUGUUGGGUAGGGGAGCGUUCUGUAAGCCUGCGAAGGUGUGCUGUGAGGCAUGCUGGAGGUAUCAGAAGUGCGAAUGCUGACAUAAGUAACGAUAAAGCGGGUGAAAAGCCCGCUCGCCGGAAGACCAAGGGUUCCUGUCCAACGUUAAUCGGGGCAGGGUGAGUCGACCCCUAAGGCGAGGCCGAAAGGCGUAGUCGAUGGGAAACAGGUUAAUAUUCCUGUACUUGGUGUUACUGCGAAGGGGGGACGGAGAAGGCUAUGUUGGCCGGGCGACGGUUGUCCCGGUUUAAGCGUGUAGGCUGGUUUUCCAGGCAAAUCCGGAAAAUCAAGGCUGAGGCGUGAUGACGAGGCACUACGGUGCUGAAGCAACAAAUGCCCUGCUUCCAGGAAAAGCCUCUAAGCAUCAGGUAACAUCAAAUCGUACCCCAAACCGACACAGGUGGUCAGGUAGAGAAUACCAAGGCGCUUGAGAGAACUCGGGUGAAGGAACUAGGCAAAAUGGUGCCGUAACUUCGGGAGAAGGCACGCUGAUAUGUAGGUGAAGUCCCUCGCGGAUGGAGCUGAAAUCAGUCGAAGAUACCAGCUGGCUGCAACUGUUUAUUAAAAACACAGCACUGUGCAAACACGAAAGUGGACGUAUACGGUGUGACGCCUGCCCGGUGCCGGAAGGUUAAUUGAUGGGGUCAGCGCAAGCGAAGCUCUUGAUCGAAGCCCCGGUAAACGGCGGCCGUAACUAUAACGGUCCUAAGGUAGCGAAAUUCCUUGUCGGGUAAGUUCCGACCUGCACGAAUGGCGUAAUGAUGGCCAGGCUGUCUCCACCCGAGACUCAGUGAAAUUGAACUCGCUGUGAAGAUGCAGUGUACCCGCGGCAAGACGGAAAGACCCCGUGAACCUUUACUAUAGCUUGACACUGAACAUUGAGCCUUGAUGUGUAGGAUAGGUGGGAGGCUUUGAAGUGUGGACGCCAGUCUGCAUGGAGCCGACCUUGAAAUACCACCCUUUAAUGUUUGAUGUUCUAACGUUGACCCGUAAUCCGGGUUGCGGACAGUGUCUGGUGGGUAGUUUGACUGGGGCGGUCUCCUCCUAAAGAGUAACGGAGGAGCACGAAGGUUGGCUAAUCCUGGUCGGACAUCAGGAGGUUAGUGCAAUGGCAUAAGCCAGCUUGACUGCGAGCGUGACGGCGCGAGCAGGUGCGAAAGCAGGUCAUAGUGAUCCGGUGGUUCUGAAUGGAAGGGCCAUCGCUCAACGGAUAAAAGGUACUCCGGGGAUAACAGGCUGAUACCGCCCAAGAGUUCAUAUCGACGGCGGUGUUUGGCACCUCGAUGUCGGCUCAUCACAUCCUGGGGCUGAAGUAGGUCCCAAGGGUAUGGCUGUUCGCCAUUUAAAGUGGUACGCGAGCUGGGUUUAGAACGUCGUGAGACAGUUCGGUCCCUAUCUGCCGUGGGCGCUGGAGAACUGAGGGGGGCUGCUCCUAGUACGAGAGGACCGGAGUGGACGCAUCACUGGUGUUCGGGUUGUCAUGCCAAUGGCACUGCCCGGUAGCUAAAUGCGGAAGAGAUAAGUGCUGAAAGCAUCUAAGCACGAAACUUGCCCCGAGAUGAGUUCUCCCUGACUCCUUGAGAGUCCUGAAGGAACGUUGAAGACGACGACGUUGAUAGGCCGGGUGUGUAAGCGCAGCGAUGCGUUGAGCUAACCGGUACUAAUGAACCGUGAGGCUUAACCUU